rnacentral:rRNA from 1 species
GACGAACGCUGGCGGCGUGCUUAACACAUGCAAGUCGAGCGGUAAGGCCCUUUCGGGGGUACACGAGCGGCGAACGGGUGAGUAACACGUGGGUGACCUGCCCUCAGCUCUGGGAUAAGCCUGGGAAACUGGGUCUAAUACUGGAUAUGACUCCACGGUGCAUGUCGUGGGGUGGAAAGCCUUGUGCGGCUGAGGAUGGGCCCGCGGCCUAUCAGCUUGUUGGUGGGGUGAGGCCUACCAAGGCGACGACGGGUAGCCGGCCUGAGAGGGCGACCGGCCACACUGGGACUGAGACACGGCCCACGACUCCUACGGGAGGGCAGCAGUGGGGAAGUCUUGCGCAAUGGGCGAAAGCCUGACGCAGCGACGCCGCGUGAGGGA